UUCCCCACUGCUUUGUAGGAAAUCCCUCCCUUGCUUCCUGGGGCAUUUCCGUGGUGGUGUUCAGUAGUUCUUCACCUUUUGAGGAAGUUCCUCCAUUGUUCGCCUGCAAAUCCACCUGUUGUGCUCUAGGAAGUUUCCCCUCCGCUGCCAAGGAAGCAUCACUGUUCCUUUCAUGGAGGAAUCUCUCCAAUUUGCACUCCAGCAAUCCCCCCAUUGGUUUCAAGGAUGUUUCAUGGUUAGAUCCUCCAUUAUUUUCCAUGAACAUCAACCACUGCUAUUCACAAAGUUCCCCCACAGAUUCCCAGGAUAUUUCAGGAUAUUUGCUCCUCUACUUUUGAGGAAUUCCCCUUAUUGCUCUCCAGAAAAUUCCCACAUUGCCUCACAGGAAAUUUCCCCAUCACCCUCCAGGACAUUUGACUGUACCUUGUCAGGAUUUCCCUAUCACUUUCAUGGAUUUUUCCACUUUUCUUUGUAGGAAUUUCCUCAUGAUGCUUUAGGACACUUCCUUACCACUUCCUGGUACGCUUUUCUCUUUUCCUCCAAGGACGAAGAUGAAAAACCAUGGUUAUGGAGGGGCACUAAGCACCUGGAGCCACCAGAGCCAAGGCCUGGGCAGGGACAAAGUGACACCACACAGGACAUAAGGGAGAAGAGCCCAGCAGAGGACCCAAUGCACAAGUCAUGGGAGAAAUCCAGAGCAAGAGCAGCAUCACAGCACUACACACAUCACAGACAUCUACCAGACUCAGAGACCAUCUUUGCACAGAUUCCUUCCCAGAUACAAGGAAAAAAUCAUUAAAAAAAAAGGAAAGUGAUUCACACAGCAAAGUGACAAGGAACAUAUCAGCUACAGAGCGACUUCUUCUAAGAGAAAAAGGACGCAUCGAGGAAAAAAGCACUCAACAUUUGGGUUUUGAGAAAUACCCUAACCCAAGAAUGCUGAAACAGAGGUGGUUUUUUUUUCAAACAUUAAAAACAUGGAUUAUUAUUUUUUUUUAAAUUAACUUAAAUACACAACUGAAACACAAACACCAAGCAAGCGCCUGGAGAAACAAACGAAAAGAAGGAAUGGAAGGUGAAUUUGACUCGUUUAA